UACGUAGGAGGCGAGCGUUGUCCGGAGUUACUGGGCGUAAAGGGUGCGCAGGCGGCGGUUCGCGUGGCGCGAUGAAAUCUCCUGGCUUACCUGGGAGGAUGGUCGCCAGACGGGAUCGCUUGAGGGUCGGAGAGGGGCGUGGAAUUCCGGGUGGAGCGGUGAAAUGCGUAGAUAUCGAGAGGAACACCUGCGGCGAAGGCGGGUUGCUGGGCUGAUACUGACGCUGAUGCGCGAAAGCCAGGGGAGCAAACGGG
rnacentral:rRNA from 1 species